CAAGGUCUUGGUCUUGAACCUCUUGUUGUCUAAACCCUGUACUUAUACAUGCAAGCCUCAUCACAACAGUGAAACUGCCCACCAUAAUCGCAUACCGGAGCCGGUAUCAGGCAAUAGCCCACGACACCAAGCAACCAAAGCCACGCCCCCACGGGCCAGCAGCAGUAGUUAAUAUUUGGCCAUAAGCGAAAGCUUGACCCAAUAACAGAGUUCUACUCAGGGCCGGUUAAUCUCGUGCCAGCGACCGCGGUUAAACGACAGACCCAAGACAACAUAAUCGGCGUAAAGCACGACUAAAAUUCACGUUACCUUAUUAGGGAUAAAGAUAGACUGGGCUGUAAAAAGCUAUAAGCCCCUACUAAACACAUAGCCCUAAUAAUAAACAACUUUGACUCGUGAAAGCUAGGACACAAACUAAGAUUAGAUACCUUACUAUGCCUAACCAUAACCAGGCAGCUAAAUAACCAGCUGCUCGCCAAAUAACUACGAGUUAUAACUUAAAAUUUAAAAGACUUGACGGUACUUCACAUCAACCUAGAGGAGCCUGUCUAAUAACCGAUAACCCACGAUUAACCCAACCUACCCUAGCCCAACCAGUCUAUAUACCGCCGUCGCCAGCUUACCUUAUGAAAGAAACAAAGUAAGCCUAAUAAUAAUACAUUAACACGACAGGUCGAGGUGUAACUAAUGAGUAGGAUAAGAUGGGCUACAAUUUCUAAUCCAGAAAAAACGAAUAGACUAUGAAACUAGAAACUGAAGGCGGAUUUAGCAGUAAGUUAAGAAUAAACAUGCCUAGCCGAAGAUAACGCAAUGAAGUGUGCACACACCGCCCGUCAUCCCUGUAAGACCCAUAUAUUAUCCAUAAAAACCACCCAUCUACUAAACAGGGCAAGUCGUAACACGGUAAGCGUACUGGAAAGUGCGCUUAGAAA
rnacentral:ncRNA from 1 species